rnacentral:tRNA from 1 species
GGACCUUUAGCUCAGUAGGUAGAGCAGGCGGCUCAUAACCGCUCGGUCGUAGGUUCGAGUCCUGCAAGGUCCA